CACUUCGAGCCGGUGAAACCUCAAGUAUUAGCAGGGACAUGCUGUGGUGCCCUAGGUCUACCGCCCACAAUUUGCCUUCAUCUCCUUCACUGGUGACAACCGAAAAUAAUUCUCUUCCCUUUUCUAGAUCUUUGUUGUACAGAUCUGAGGCGUUUUAGGUCAGAGGAAGCAACACCAGGUUGCUCCGGCCACUAUUUUCUGAUAGCAAGUACAUCUGGCAGUGACUCAACAAUCGGGCAUUCAGGUUUGGGUGAGUAUUUGGAUUGAGUCCUUGGGUUGAAUACUUUGAUGCGGAUGUGAUGAUUUUCGAUUUAGGGCUUUUGGAAUUUGCUGUGUCAAUACUGCUUCAGCUGAGGACAUCAAGGAAGAGGUUGCUAAGGGCUUUGAUUUGAGACGAGCGUCUCGACGUAGGGUCUAUUUCGAAGAUGAUCUCCACUUUUUGAGGUCGAGGCCAUCACGAGGUUCCAGUUGCUAGUCCCCUGGUCACGAGAGUUUA